AGAAUACUGGAGUGGGUAGCCAUUCCCUUCUCCAGGGAAUGAAGAAUCCCUUUCCAGGGUUGGAAUCCCUUUCCAACCUAGGGAUUGAACCGAGUCUCCUGCAUUGCAAGCAGAUUCUUUACCAUCUGAGCCACCAGGGAAGCCCCGUAUCUUCUCUAAUUUUUAGGCCACCAUCACAGAAGGGUUCUUUCCCACAAAGCACGUAAAUAUUGGUUUACAAUGGCCAGGGCUGUCUCUGCAGAGGAAAGAAAGAAGGGUGCUUGCUAUCCUUUCUCCUACCUCCAAAAGCCAUCACCCAGCCUAAGGUGAGGAGAGAUGGGGUGAGUGCCUGGGGUCUGGACAAUACAGAAGACAUGAGAGGAGAGAUGGGGCUAGAACAGAGCAUCCUAGGCAUCCUGGGAGACACUGAAGGCUCUCACGUGGGCAAGAGGCCAAGCUCAGGUUCAAGUCAGAGAAUACCAACGCCUAUUCUGUUAUUUCUACGAUGUGCUGGCACUCUCAAAAGGCGCAUCCAGUUUUGAUAUACGUAGGAUUCAUCUCCCAAAGAGGUUUAACCAGCAGCUGCUGGCAGGAAAUUCCCACCGCAAUGCUCUCUCUCCUCCCCUGUAACUAUUUAGGGUAAGCUGGGCUUGCAGGAUUGAAUCUCUGCUUCUCUGACUAGAACCUCAAAAUCCAAUGUACCCUCCCCCAACCCUUCUCCAUGGCUCGGAACCUAAGACUGAAACCAGAAAGCGGCAGGCAAACACUAUGCCUUUUUCUCUUCUAUUCUCUUCCACAGAUUCCCCCAACCAGGUGCACAUAAAGUAAAGAAAAGAUGCCCCAGAGACUCACUGGGGUGUGCUCUGGUUAUGCAAAUCCUCCCCAGUUCUUCCCUUUUGCUUUUACUUGUCCUGUAGUAAGACCAACCCUGAACGCAAGUGGAUUUGGCAACUUCCCAAACCAAGCCUUCUGCAGCCAAGCCACCCCCGGAGAUUUCUAAACAACAGGGGACUGGGUCCAGGAAGUCCUGUGGAGGCUGGUUUCUUCAUCUGAGGUGUCGUAUUCCAGAAGUCAACAAAUAUUGACCAAGCACCUGCUGAAGGCCAGGCACUACACCCACUGUGAGCAAGGCUCAGGCCUAGUCAACCACGGCUGCCAUUGUGAGAUGGGGGAGAAUGAACCCUUGUUCCAAGACAGUCACUGUCUACUGUCUGAAGAGUGACUUUUAUCUAAGAGGCCAGGAGAGGGCCCUGGCCAUUGGUGAAUGAGACCCGUCCCUGUGUCUUUGGCUGUAACUCAGCAUAGGGGCUGCUUCUUGGAGUGUUUAAAAAAAAAAAACAAAACUUCAAACCAUUUAUUGAGCACCCUCUACAUGCUGGGCAGGUGUCACACAGGUCGUCUCAUGGGUCCCCUCCAUAAGCCCAUGACGUGGAUUGACUCAGGAGGCAAGGGAGGCUCAGAGGCUUAAUGACAGCUGGAAAAUGGGAGGACCGAGGUUUUCAUCAGCACUUCCCCUCCCAUCACUCAUGAGAGAUGCAGAUGUGUGGACAGGAGUCAGGGCACUUAAUUCUCCUAUGGCAACAGCCCACCUACAGCUGCCCCUUCAUUCUUACAGCAAACAAUCUCAUAUGACCUGCCCCUUCCAGCCUACUCAGGCCCACCCAGGAGCUUGGGAGAGAUGCCUUCCAUGGAUCUGCCCACGAAGGCCCAGUUAUUGAAAGACACCUCAGAACACAUCGGAACUAAAGGAAGGUACAGAAGAUAAACCCUGGAAGAGGGUAGGGGUCAGAACACAGACAUGUGACAUUGCUCCUGGGCAAAGAGGAGAAGGGUGUGAUCAAAUUUUUGGUUUUGGAAAGCCAUCUGGACCAUGGGUUCCUUAUCUUUGCAUCCUCAUGUCCUGGAUAAAACUUGACAUACAGUAGGAACUCAAAAUCCAAGUACUGAAUGGGAGAAAAGGCAGGGGGCAGGUCCCCCAAGAGUGAGAGGCUUGGCCAAGAGGAUCCUGAAGGCCAGGUGCACUAGGGGGGAGGACUGAAUGAGUUGUUGAGGAGGAGCUGUUAUGGUUGCUGUUUGCUCCAUACAUGACCUGAUCUGAUCAUCCCUUUAGGUAACGGCCCAGAGGACAGGCCAGCAUACCCGAGGCUGGGCACUGACUGCAGCCAGGCGCUUCCACUGUGGGCCUUAAGUCCUGAAACCCAGGUCCCUCUGGACCAGCUUCUCUCAGACAGCUCCAUCCACUGUGAAAGUACCAAGCUUUGCAACACGUUCAGAUAUGGCUCCAAACAGCACUUAGGCAAGAGUAAUUAAAGGGAAUGUUAUCUCAGCCAGGCUCUCAUUAGCCACAUAAUUAGACUGCUGAAAAUAAUUAACAUUCCUUUUGACAAAGGAAGCAGAGGACCCAUUACAUUCAUUAGGACAGCCUCAAACCAGCCUGAGGAAGGCCCAGAAGAGGACUCAUCCCCUCCCAGGCCUGCACAAGACAGAGUCAGCAUCCAGGAUCCCAGACCAGGUGGCAAGUCCUGCCCUCGGCCAGGCUCCUGGGUGAGCAGAGAGAGAUGGCAAUGGAUGCCUUCGUGUACAUAUUACAGAUAAUAAUAAGACUCAUACAGCUCACUGAAGAAGAUUUGAAGGAAAUGUAUCACUGUAUCAAGAUGGCAGACCAGGGUCAACUGUGUACCUCCCCCAAGGCCCUUGAAAGUGACACAAAAGACAUUUUCUAAGAAGAAUAAAUCCAUCACAGCAAAAAACAAGAGGGAAUUCUAUCCUUGAAGAUGGAAGUAAAUGAUAAUAAACUGAUAGAGAAACCACAACCCCCACAAAUAAAACCAUGAAAAAUAAUAAUAACUGACAUUCAUACAGCACAUAUAUUGAACCCUCACAAAAAUCCUUUGAGACAGAGACUAUUAUUUUCCUCACUUUACCAAUAAGACCCAGAGUUCCAUAGCUUUCCCAAGGUCAUAGUGCUAGUAAGUGCCGGUGCUAGGAUUUUAACCCCAGCAGUGUGGCUAAGGAUUCUACAUUUGGGGGAAUGGCUCUGGGGGAUCCAGUUUGGAGCAAGCAGAUUAGGGGUCCCGGAGAGGCCCUGAGUGGUUGGUCAUGGGAUCUGGAGCAGCCAGGCAAGCAGCCCCUGGCCCACGUCUCCACCCAGCUGUCCCUCCACCAGGGACAUUAGGGCAUUGAGGCAAAGGGACACCUAGACAGUUCCUGCAUCCUGGCUUGAGAGCAUGUAAUCGGGAUUCAUGUAGAGGUGACCGAAAAACCUCAAAAUACAGAGAGAGAAACACAACCAAGACUCACCAAACAUUUGACAAAAACCAAAACAGCCAAAGAAGCACCAAAUUAGAGAAUACAAGUUCUAGCUAGAAAACAAAAUUAGUAAAGUCAACAGAAUGAAACGUUUGUCAAAAUAUGAUUAAUAGCCUCUGAGGGACAAGAAGGGCUCCUGAGUCCAUGAACCCAAAUGAGCCACUGCCAGAAGAAUGUCAAAGAUCUCAGAAAUGAAGGAACCACACUACGGUUAACUGGUUAUCUCUGGAUGAAAGAACAGAGUGACUUCAUUAAAAAUUUUCUUUCUAUAGCUCUAUUUUUCUAAAUGUCUUAUACCACACAUGUAUCACUUGUAGAAUCAGAAAAGUUUUUUUUUUUUUUUAAUGCCUGGUAUGAGGUAGGUGUUCAGUAAGGUGUAGAUCCUGCCACCUACAGCAACCCUUGGCCCCAUCCAGGCUGGUACAUAACUCGCCAUCCCACAGUCACUCCAUCCAUACUCUCAUCUCUGGGCCUUUGUGCACACCAUUCCCCUUCUGGAGUGCCCUUAUUUCUGUUUAUCCAGAUUUACCUGUCCUUCAAUGCCCACUCAGAGAUGACCCUUGUUAACGAAAGGUCCCUGCAUCAAUCUUACCUAAACCACUUUGAUCCCUCUCCCCCCAAAUUCCUAAGAGCCUCUAAUUCUCCAGGGUCACAGGAUAACUCUUGUUGAGUUGUCCUGUGGGGUCACAGUACUAAAGACUUACAUGUUCUUUACCUUUCAGUGACCAAGUC